ACUAUUUAUCUCUCUCUAAACUCUCCAAACUCUCAACCAACAACCCACAUGUUGAAUGGAGCCUGAGGGGUUUAUAUUGCUGUCAAACCUCCCGGCAAAAUCUGAACCGCUUCCCGAAGCAGUCACGUGGUACAGCCGGGCAGCGAGGCUUCGGACGUCAUCAUUUUUGGCUCCUCCCCUAAAUGAAGCAAGCCUCGAUACGCGCUUCGAGGAAACGCCCCCUCCAUUACUCGACACACGCUUCGAAGCGUCGGCACAUCUCGUAACAACACUACCACACACACUGUAUGUCUGCAGCCACAUGACUAUGUUUUACGGUCACAAUGGGGCACUCCCUGCCUUUUCUAAUUAUUGGCAGGGGGAUGAACCACUUUGUGUUGGUGUAGCCAUGUGCUCAGACAUACACUCUACAACCAUACAUCCAUACACGUGUGUGAGAGGUGGGGUUCCUUUACCCCACCUCUCACACACCAUCUAUAUUCUAUGUCCCUGGAUCACAGACGGUGUGCAGCUGUUGGUCUGGAACUCGCCGAUGGACAUCGAGCUGACUCAACGUGGCGGUGAGAGGACGGAGGAGUGCUCGAGACUGCAGCGAAUCUGCUUUUUGGUCAUAUUUCCAAGGUGCAGAAGAUCCUGAAAGGGAAACAUUUAAAAGCUGAAGCUCAACAACACUGUCAGGCCAAUCCGACCGCACCUGGGUUCCAGAGGGCAAGCCGGCCAAUCGGCUGAGUGCUUUCAAAGGAGUGGAGGGUGGCUUUGGCUUGUGUAAUGUUUACACUGAUACUGCUAGGUGUGCAGGUUUGCGGUGAGAGGUUGAGGACAGUCGGUGAGUUCAGGGUACCCUGUACAUGUGUGCAUUCACGUAGGUAGUGUGUGUCUAGAAACAUUAGACUCUUGGUUGCUGCUCCCUCUGGAUUGUUUUGACAAUAACUUUGCGAGAGAAGCAAGUGAAGCCAUUUUGUUUGUUGGAGGUAUUCCGCCAGGCACAACCACGACUGUCCCAAUCUCUCCCACUUCAUGGGACCUUAUCCCCUGGACCAAGAAGUGGACGUAACAGUUCCUGAAAAGUAAUUUGCAUGAAAACACUCAAACAAUGACGCGGUUAUCAAAUAUAGUUGGCAAGAAAAUGAAAUAUUGAGCUGCUUUGAGUGAGUGGGGCUUGAGUAAUUAUUAUUUGUAUUGUUAUUGAUUACUUUGUAUGUGUAUGCGCGCAUGUAGACAUUGUUUUACUCGCAUCAUUCCGCAGAAAUUGAUUUAAAAUGGGGAAAUGCUUUUGUCAAAUGGUCUACUAUACGCACAAUACUCCACGUGGUUAUUUCAUGUCGACUUUACGUUGCGUGACCCACAUACUCUCUUGUCUCUCGUGCUUUUCACCUCGGGUUGUUUAUUGUCAUUUUUAGAAUAGCCAAGAAUUGUUUAUCGAGACCGAAUUCUGCCCACAACUUCUUGAAUAUGAGGAUUUCCUGCUUGG